UUUGCCUUUAACCUGCUGCUUUAGCACGAGAACCAAUAGCUCAGUGGCAACUGGAAGCCUAUUAGAAAUGCAGAUUCUCCAGACCGCACCAGAAGUACACUACGGAUGAGGAUGAGCCAUCGGAGAUUGGAAAAGUGGAGCCUCCCCCCUCCCUGCCCCCAUGGGGAUGCUGGUGCCUAAAACUUUGCUUACACUAAAGGAACAGCAAGCACCUCAGUAAGAGGAUCCAGGUUCAGUUCCCAGAACAGCCAUUCAUCAGUUCCAGGAGAUCUGUUGCCCUCUUCGGACUUGCCCAGGCACCAGACACCUCAGCUUCCAGAGCUGUAUCCUCAGGUGCUUCGUAGAAGACGUGGGAUGGCAUCCCCACCCCACUUCAAACACCGUCUGUUUCAAGAUCCUCAGAGGGACUAACACAGCCUGCCAAUUUCUCAGCUUCAGUCAUCAGCGCACAGCAUCUCCCUGCCUUCUUUCCACCAGGGCCAGCCACUCCCCAGCUGGCUCCUAGUCCAGCCAGGCCCUAUUCAGCACACUGCCUCCUGUCAAGCUGCAGCGAACAUGUUUCCAGGACUGAGAAAUCAAAGUACUUAUUGCCCUAACAAUUAAAUAUUAUGUUCAACUGCAGCAACAUAAACCUGAAAACCUGGUAACUUAAGAUUUGGGGGUAGGGGGAGGUUAUCUCUGGCAACAUUAGCCCAGUGGCAGGCUACCCAGGGUUGCUUCCCCAUGAGACCACCCAAGAACCCUGCUCAUUUUUCUUCAUCCUUAGGAUGGGACUCCCAGGCUCUUACAAAGGCCAACAGAACUCAGCCACCCCAUCAGAAUUUCAGACAGAUUAUAAACAAAGGACAGAGGUACCUACUCACAUUCCAGUAUUCUAAGAAGUUCCACCCAAAAGCCCCUGAAACAUCUUGUUGUCCAGGGUGUGUCACAUGACCAGCCCUAGCUGCAAGGGAGGCUGUGAAGUCUAAGCUUUCAGCCGGGCAUACUGCUGUAAUGUAUGAAGUUCCAGUUCUGUUCCUGUGGUAAGCUGAACUAUGCCCUCCCAAAACUGAAAUGGAGAAGCCUAAACCCUUGUAGCUUCAGAAUGUGACUGGGCUUGUGAAUAGGGCUCCUAUACAGAUGAAUUGGUAGAUGAGGUCCUUAGCUUGGGCCCUAACUCAAAAUGUCAGGUGCUCUUAGAAGGGAAGGUUAAAAUCCAGGCACACGGGCUAAGGGAGAACUCAGGGUGAAGAUGACUAUAUGCAGGCCAAGGAGAGGGUCCUCAGGAUAAACUAACCCUGCCAACACCUUGAUCUCAGACUUCCAGCCUCCAGGAACUUGGGGCAAUACAUGCAUCAUUUUAGCCACAAUGACUAGUAUUUUGUCAGGGCCAUCCAGUGCUAAGGAGUAAGAUAACAGAAGGCAUGGGUCACUACGACCAGUAGCUAAUACAUUUGGCAGGAUUCCAUAUGUGUAUAUCUCCUGGGCUUUUAUAGCUAUCUGUCACUGGUCAUAAUAGCCCAUAUAUUUAAUUCCAGCCCUCAAGAAGCAGAGACAGACAGAUCUUUGUAAGUUCACAGCCAACCUAAUCUAUGUAGUUCCUGGCCAUUCAGAUGGCAACAUAGUGAGCCUGUCUCAAGAAGGAAAGGAAAAAAACAGGCUCUUUGUCAAAUAUUCUCACAAAUGUUUUGAAGAACCCUUUUAAGGUAUUAUAUGUCAUGUGGUAUCCAAAGGACUUCGCCAUCCCCUCCCUUCCCGGCCAGCUCCUGGCAUGUCCUUUCUUCGUGUCUUUGCAUGAUUCUUCUCCUUAGAAAUGCUUGUGUAUAAACCUUGUGGCCUCCCUGGAAUGACUUGAGAAGUACUUAAAUAGCCCUCCCUCUCUGCCGCUGGCCAGAAAUAGCCUGAAAGUCUAAAGUUGGUACUUCAUUCCUUUGGUUAAUCUAUUCUCCCUGUGAAAGGGCAAAUUAACUAGUAAACGCAGCAGAUCUGGUGAGCACUGAGCAGCUUUUGAUGGGGAAGAAAACACAGAGCAGGACCAGGAGGAUGUCUGAAAAGGGCGUACCACAGAGCCAGAGGCCAGAACAAGGGCACAGAUGGACUAUGUGAGGUCUCUACAGUAGACAAGAGGUCCCUCAAACACUACAAAUUCAUUCUGCUUUGCAAAAUGGUCAUGUGGAAAGAUGCUGGGGUCAAGAGCAAACAUUUUUCCAAAUACAGAGCUGUACCCUUGUCUCAUCUCAUCCUCUAAUAAAACUGCAUUUACUGCAUAAGA